GGCCCCGCCCGGGGUGCUCAGAGGUCGGAGUAUCGCUGGGAGGAGAGUUGGUUCAUUUGGAGGAGGGAAUGCGACUCUGAGCGGGCCAAGCCCUAGUGGGUCAGAGUAGGAUUCUGAUGGAAUUUGCGGUCUCACCGCCUACUAGGGAGGAAAAGCAGUUUUCAGGAGUCCCGCACCGCCGCCAGCCGUGGGCUGGGACUACAAGUCACGGUCUGUGGAGUCCAGGAGUGGGGGCGGGCGGGAGGCAGGCUGGGAGCUGUAGUAGUGUCACCGCCACGUUCGCAGCAGGUAGAUGCUCAUCUUGCUAACGGAUUGGUGAGAGUGGACAGCAAUUAGGCUUUGGCACCUUGGAGCGUGGCUCCAGCUAAGGGAAGCGAAACGCUUCCUGGGUGAGAGGACUUUUAUUCUUUGCUCAUCCUCUUAAACCUGGCGAGUGAGCGCCUGAGGUUCGGAGUGCCUUCUUCACAGACGACGCGAAUGUGGGGUCUUCGUGUUUGCCGAACUGAAGGGAAUUUGCCUUCCUGCCUUUAGAGCUAAGGUCUUGCUCUAUCUCCCAUGCCAAAGUGCAGUGCUAUGAUCACGGCUCGCUGCAGCCUUGAACUCCUGGGCUCAAGGCAUCCUCCUGCCUCACUACGUCACCAAGCCCAGCUAAUACAUUUUAAAAAUUUAUUAUUUAUUUAUUUAUUUAUUUUUGGUAGAGAAGGGGG
rnacentral:lncRNA from 10 species